GGGAUUGCAGUGGCAAAGCUAGGCUAGGUCUUGGAGGCUGGUGUAAGGCGAUGUGGGUGAAGGCAGGAGGCUGAUGGAAAGACUGGGGGGAAGAAAAGCCGAAAUGGAUUCACGGUGCCUUGGAUGAAGGACGAGAGGGGAACUGCAAGCUCCUUCAACUGGUUCUGUCCGGUGAGAAGUGAUCAAGCUUGGGCUGACAAGAGGCUCAGGGAGCCCUCACGUUCUUUCGCUUUUUUACCUGCCAAUCAAACUGCUACAAGACAACACCCUGAUCUGGCAUGGACAUACUGAGUCUCACUCUGUCGCCCAGGUUGGAGUGCAGUGGCGCGAUCUUGGCUCACUGCAACCGCCACUUCCCAGGUUCAAGUGGUUCUCCUGCCUCAGCCUCCUGAGUACCUGAAAUUACAGGCGCCCGCCACCACGCCAGUCUCAAUACCUUCACAGAGGUGAAGAAGCAGCAACCAAAUGAAUUAGACAGCAACAUGAUUCCUAGAGAAUGGCAAGACCAAUUCUUCAACUACUUCUUCAGCAUUUCUGAAACAUAUGGAAGAUGGCCCAUUGUGCUCUCUUAAUUCUUUGAUAAUCUGGACAUUGACUUUUCCAUUAUAUGACCUGGGCUUGUGGGCAUCAUGUCAUAAUGCACCUGUUCAGACAUCUCCCUGUACCAAUAUGGAUCACUUGAAGAGACUCCUUUGCCCCCAUCAAAAAGGAUACAGUUGUGUAUCUCUUCCAUUUUUGUUUACAGUGCCUAAAAUUAUUUGAGCAGUUUUUCACCUCUUCUCUGAUAAACACCUUAUUAGUCCUUAAAAAGAAAAGAAAAAAGGAAAAUAAAACUUUUAUUGAGAUCCUA
rnacentral:lncRNA from 1 species